CCAAAAACGGAAUUAUAGUCCUUUUUAGAAAAAAAUCACCUACUAAACUUGAUAGAAAAAAUUAUUACUAGUUAUAAAGAUUAUGGAAAUUAAAAUGAAUCCAGUCUAUAACCUUAAAAAAUAUAUAAAUAUAUAUUUAGUAUAUCUAGAAUAUUUAGGUUAAUAAGGUGCCAGCAACCGCGGUCAAACCUUAUUAAUAAAUAAUUUAUUAUAAACUAUUACAUUUAAAUAUAUAAAUUUAUAGAGUGCAGUGAAAUGUCGCUAUAUUUCUGAAGUCCUAAUAUAUCUCCUCAUAUAUAAAAUAAAAUAAGAUAGAAAACUAGGAUUAGAUACCCUAUUAUUCUUAACCCAUAGCUAGUAGAUUGAGGAGUAAAAUUACUAUAAACUCAAAAGUCAUGGCGGCUAUUAAAAUUUAUCAGGGGAGCUUACCAAAUAAUUGAUAACCACCAAGAUAUUCCUCUUUUGCUUAAAGUUUGUAUGCCGUCGUCUUAAAAUUUUCAGAGAAAAUUUUUUUUGCUACUAAGUAAGAGAAAGACAGAUCAAGGUGCAGCUAAUGCAAAAGAUCUAGGCGAGCUACAAUAACCAAAUAUUAACCCAUGCAACUUAAAAUACUUGCUGAAGUUGGACUUGAAAGUAAGUUACAAAUAAAAAAUAAUAGCUGAAUAGUCUGUUUAAUAGUGC
rnacentral:rRNA from 1 species